GCAGUUUUGAAGGUUUCAUGGCGUUCUUGGGUAGCCGGUCGCCAUAUAUUAUGCAAAGCAGUCUUGGAGAAUGUGAAUCACCUGUUGCAGUGAACCCGUAAUCCUGCUUGUUACGAGGAAGCCCAGGCCUUCCUCACGGAAAGGCCAUGCCUGUGUGUUCCAGCCACCGUCCCAGCUCAGGUCUCAUCCCUCAGCCGGCCCCACCUGCCAGACACGUGAGUGAGGGAGUACAAGAGCCCUCAUGCAGUUUCAGUACCCAGUGCAGUCUCCAUGCCAGCCCAGCUGACGAAGCACAGGUCCCGGGCACAAGCUAGAAGGAUCCAUGGCCCUGAAUCCAGUUCUGGCUGUUCUGACUCAGUUCGGAUGCUGAAGGGCUUUCACAUCUUAAAGGGAAGGUCCGCCGCACUCAACACAGAGACAUCGGCAAAGGCCAUUCUCGACGUGGAGGUACAAACAAAAAUUGCCAAGGAUGGUCUUAGCAACUGCCAGCGAAUUGGAGAUGGAAACCCUCUCAUACCAGGGUACUGAACCUGAAGAGGGAGGAUGUGACGUGACCAGGGGAGGAAGGAAGUUAUGGGGCAGAGCUGUUGACAACCUUGAGAGAGGUCACAGAUGCUGGGGUUGCCACCCACCUGGACCACUGAGACUGGGGGCGCCACCCCAGGGCAGGGCAGGGAUCAUGGGCUCCUAGGGCAGGAGGUCAUCUGGGGGCCCUGGCCUGGUGGUUCUACGU